rnacentral:tRNA from 2 species
GGAGAGAUGUCCGAGUUUGGUCGAAGGAGCACGAUUGGAAAUCGUGUAGGCGCCUAAAACGUCUCGGGGGUUCGAAUCCCCCUCUCUCCGCCA